rnacentral:rRNA from 1 species
AGCGAACGCUGGCGGCAGGCUUAACACAUGCAAGUCGAGCGGAUGUAGCAAUACAUCAGCGGCAGACGGGAGAGUAACACGUGGGAACGUACCCUUCAGUUCGGAACAACCCAGGGAAACUUGGGCUAAUACCGGAUACGUCCGUAAGGAGAAAGAUUUAUCGCUGAAGGAUCGGCCCGCGUCUGAUUAGCUAGUUGGUGAGGUAACGGCUCACCAAGGCGACGANCAGUAGCUGGUCUGAGAGGAUGAUCAGCCUCACUGGGACUGAGACACGGCCCAGACUCCUACGGGAGGCAGCAGUGGGGAAUAUUGGACAAUGGGCGCAAGCCUGAUCCAGCCAUGCCGCGUGGGUGAUGAAGGCCCUAGGGUUGUAAAGCCCUUUCGGCGGGGAAGAUAAUGACGGUACCCGCAGAAGAAGCCCCGGCUAACUUCGUGCCAGCAGCCGCGGUAAU